AUGUGCCACUCGGACCUGCGGUUCCUCCGCGCCGUCUACACCCGCUUGGCGACCGCUCGUUACGUUUUUUGUUAGUC
rnacentral:sRNA from 18 species